AUACGUAGGUGGCGAGCGUUGUCCGGAAUUACUGGGCGUAAAGGGCGCGUAGGCGGUCAUUUAAGUCGGGUGUGAAAUCUUGGGGCUUAACCUCAAGUUUGCAAACGAUACUGGGUGGCUUGAGUGCAGGAGAGGGCAGUGGAAUUCCUAGUGUAGCGGUGAAAUGCGUAGAUAUUAGGAGGAACACCAGUGGCGAAGGCGGCUGCCUGGACUGUAACUGACGCUGAGGCGCGAAAGCGUGGGGAGCAAACAGGAUUAGAUACCCUGGUAGUCCACGCCGUAAACGAUGGGUACUAGGUGUAGAGGGUAUCGACCCCUUCUGUGCCGGAGUAAACACAAUAAGUACCCCGCCUGGGGAGUACGGCCGCAAGGUUGAA
rnacentral:rRNA from 1 species